rnacentral:snoRNA from 1 species
AUGCCAUGAUGAGGGCACUUUCGUAAUAACUCCUUGAACCGCUCCCACACUUCAUAUAAAGAUUCUUCAUCAAGUUGUUGAAAUGAAGUGAUUUCAUUUUGGAUCUU